AUGGCGACCAGCUCUGGCGGUGGCGAUGACGGAGAAGGAAUCGACGGCUCCGGCGUCGGUGGCCAUUCUAACAGUGGCCGCCGCCCGCAAUGCGACCCCGAUGGCAAGUGGGUCCCCAACCCCAAUGGCGAUUUGGACUCGACGGCGGCUUGGGGUAAAGUUGUCCUGCUGUCGCCGUCCCAAUAUGUGGAGGAGGCAGAGAAGGCAACUGCGGAGGCAGAGAAGGCGGCGGCGGCGGCUGAUUCGUUGAGGGAGGAAGUACUCCCCUUGCAUCCUUCUGAAUCCAGGCCUGAGGAGCCAUGGUCAUUAUAUUUUCAAUUUCCUUCUAAAGAUGCUGCCAGAAAGUAUGCCCUUGUGAAGAUGUAUGAGAGAGACAUCACUUAUGGUAGUUUGCUUAAUGUGAUGGUCAGAAAUGGAUAUGGAAGUGAGGACAGUAUUUGCUACCCGAGGAAGGAUGGCAUAGGGAUGCAAGGGAUAUCUGUCAUCACAAACAACACUGAAGUGGAUGAUAUGAUAAAUCAAUUUAAAACCAGUCAGACAUUGUGUUUGUAUGUUAAAGAGGGGAACUUAAAUAGGAAGCAAGCACCAGUAGAACCUAAAGAAGUGGACCCAGCUGAAACACUUGUAGAUUUGACAGUGGACCAACUUGUUGUUUUUGCUGUUAUUGAGUCAGGUGUUGUGCACAAAACAACAGAUCAUUAUGGUGGCUCAUCAUAUGUUCUUGCUACACAAGAAAGUGUGAACUAUAUGCCAAUAAAAACAAUUCCUCCACCUGCCAGCUUAACUAUGGCAAGACUAAAUUUGAACUUAUGUAAUGCUAUGUUGAACCUAUGUGUGGCACUAAGAACUACUGCUGUGUAA
rnacentral:rRNA from 1 species